CGAAGAUUACCUACCUGUGUCAUGCCAUGGGCUGGCCAUACAUAACAUGGUCGAUUGAUGGUCGAUAUUUUGGAGAACACCAGAAUAUUUGAUCAAUAUUGCGCAAGGCAACGCAGAUUCUCCAAAGUAGGCUAUGUGGUCUGUGUGAACCCCUGGUGUGAACCACUAUACCAACACGGCCACUUCACCUCUAUCCUGCCUGCCACCAAGAAAGAGAAUGUGUCGGACGUCGACCACCCACCCAGAGCAUAGACAGGCCCAUCACUCUGGGUGAGUAGUGCGUAGUCCUGUGCAGACCACCAUGUUGACAUGAGUCUCACACUUAAUCCAGCUGAGGAAACUCAACUCUAGCCGCCUCUCCCUGUGAGCCUUCCAAAAGGGCAGCCGCCUGUGCAGUCUCCCCAGGCCCCUACUCCAGUCGGUCACAGGGCUGACCAGAAGGCCAGCAUAUGCACACACACACACACACA